AACCGUGAGUCCAAUCUGCACGAAAACUUGGAUAUAGACUCAAUGGAUCCUCGUGACAAAAAGCUAUUAAAAGAAUUUUGAUAUCUAAAACAAUGUGCAAGUUAUAGAGGACCAACUUCCUGUAGAUGGCUGUUGAAACAGGAAUCGUUGCAUCUUGGCAAAAGUUAUUCUAAUGGACAAUAAAAUUAAAGUGAUGACUU